rnacentral:rRNA from 1 species
GACGAGGGCGCGAGCGUUGUCCGGAUUUAUUGGGCGUAAAGAGCUCGUAGGCGGUUUGUCGCGUCUGCUGUGAAAAUCAGGGCUUAACCCUGGACCUGCAGUGGGGUACGGGGCAGACUAGAGUGCGGGUAGGGGGAGAUCGGAAAUUCCUGGUGUAGCGGUGAAAAUGCGCAGAUAUCAGGAGGAACACCGGUGGCGAAGGCGGAUC